CAAACUCCUACGGGAGGCAGCAGUAGGGAAUCUUCCACAAUGGACGAAAGUCUGAUGGAGCAACGCCGCGUGUGUGAUGAAGGGUUUCGGCUCGUAAAACACUGUUAUAAGAGAAGAACGUCAGUGAGAGUAACUGUUCAUUGAGUGACGGUAUCUUAUCAGAAAGGGACGGCUAAAUACGUGCCAGCAGCCGCGGUAAUACGUAUGUCCCAAGCGUUAUCCGGAUUUAUUGGGCGUAAAGCGAGCGCAGGCGGUUAUUUAAGUCUGAUGUGAAAGCCUACGGCUCAACCGUAGAAUUGCAUCGGAAACUGGAUGACUUGAGUGCAGUAGAGGAGAGUGGAACUCCAUGUGUAGCGGUGAAAUGCGUAGAUAUAUGGAAGAACACCAGAGGCGAAGGCGGCUCUCUGGACUGUAACUGACGCUGAGGCUCGAAAGUGUGGGUAGCAAACAGGAUUAGAUACCCUGGUAGUCCACACCGUAAACGAUGAAUGCUAGUUGUUAGAGGGUUUCCGCCCUUUAGUGACGCAGCUAACGCAUUAAGCAUUCCGCCUGGGGAGUACGACCGCAAGGUUGAAACUCAAAGGAAUUGACGGGGGCCCGCACAAGCGGUGGAGCAUGUGGUUUAAUUCGAAGCAACGCGAAGAACCUUACCAGGUCUUGACAUCUUUCGCUAUCUUAAGAGAUUAAGAGUUCCCUUCGGGGACGGAAUGACAGGUGGUGCAUGGUUGUCGUCAGCUCGUGUCGUGAGAUGUUGGGUUAAGUCCCGCAACGAGCGCAACCCUUAUCAUUAGUUGCCAGCAUUAAGUUGGGCACUCUAAUGAGACUGCCGGUGAUAAACCGGAGGAAGGUGGGGAUGACGUCAAAUCAUCAUGCCCCUUAUGACCUGGGCUACACACGUGCUACAAUGGAUGGUACAACGAGUCGCAAACUCGCGAGGGUAAGCUAAUCUCUUAAAGCCAUUCUCAGUUCGGAUUGUAGUCUGCAACUCGACUACAUGAAGUCGGAAUCGCUAGUAAUCGCGGAUCAGCACGCCGCGGUGAAUACGUUCCCGGGCCUUGUACACACCGCCCGUCACACCA
rnacentral:rRNA from 1 species